rnacentral:rRNA from 1 species
UGGGGAAUAUUGGGCAAUGGGCACAAGCCUGAUCCAGCCAUGCCGCGUGAGUGAAGAAGGCCCUAGGGUCGUAAAGCUCUUUCACCCGUGAAGAUGAUGACGGUAGCGGGAGAAGAAGCCCCGGCUAACUCCGUGCCAGCAGCCGCGGUAAUACGGAGGGGGCAAGCGUUGUUCGGAAUUACUGGGCGUAAAGGGCGCGUAGGCGGACCGACAAGUCAGGGGUGAAAGGCCUGGGCUCAACCCGGGAACUGCCUUUGAAACUGUUGGUCUUGAGUCCGGGAGAGGAUGGCGGAAUUCCCAGUGUAGAGGUGAAAUUCGUAGAUAUCGGGAAGAACACCGGUGGCGAAGGCGGCCAUCUGGUCCGGCACUGACGCUGAGGCGCGAAAGCGUGGGGAGCAAACAGGAUUAGAUACCCCCGUAGUCC